UGGCGAACGGGUGAGUAACACGUGGGUGAUCUGCCUUGCACUUCGGGAUAAGCUUGGGAAACUGGGUCUAGUACCGGAUAGGACAGCUGUUUAGUGUCAGUUGUGGAAAGUUUUUUCGGUGCAAGAUGAGCUCGCGGCCUAUCAGCUUGUUGGUGGGGUAAUGGCCUACCAAGGCGUCGACGGGUAGCCGGCCUGAGAGGGUGUACGGCCACAUUGGGACUGAGAUACGGCCCAG
rnacentral:rRNA from 1 species